rnacentral:rRNA from 1 species
CCUUGUACACACCGCCCGUCACACCAUGGGAGUGGUUCCACCAGAAGUAGUUAGCCUAACCGCAAGGGGGCGACUACCACGGUGAGAUUCAUGACUGGGGUG